CUUUCUCUUUAGUUUUAGUUUUUCUAUUUUUUUUCUUUUCUUCUCACCAGAGUGGCCGAGCCCAGCCUGCAGCAGUAGCUCGAAUUUUGGCCUGCCAUUCUGUUCUUACAGUCCCCAAAUUGGCGCCCUGCUGUUCAUCUGCCGCUAAUCAGCAUUCAGGAACUUUUUGAGUUGGCUGCUUCAGAGUUUUGUUGGCAUUUGGGUCUGAAAUACAAUUAAAGGAGAUAUUUUGAAGAUCUAUGAAUUGCAAAGAUUGAAGAAUUGUAAUAUCUUGGAGAAGCUUGGAAGUAAGAUAGAAAUUACAACCGAUAUGUGGACUUCUAGCAACACAAAGAAAGGCUUCAUGGCUAUCACUACACAUUAUAUUGAUGAUUCUUGGAUCUUACAAAGUCAAAUUUUGAGCUACUUGCUCUACUUUGGAAGGGAUAUCAUGUAAUACAUUGUUUGAUGAAGAAGAUGAUGUUGAUUGUGUUACUGAAUAGCAUCAAAUGUCAGGGUUGCUUUAUCAAGUGAGUUAUCACAUCUCAAGAUUGAUGAAGAGCAAAUGUUCUAAAGUUGUUGAGUUAUGUUAAUGACAAGAAAAACUGGAUUUAUUGUUAAGUGUUUUUAGUUUGUUAAAUAUGAGAAAUCAACUCGACUGAGUUUGU